GAUGAACGCUGGCGGCGUGCUUAACACAUGCAAGUCGAACGGAAAGGCCCAAGCUUGCUUGGGUACUCGAGUGGCGAACGGGUGAGUAACACGUGGGUGAUCUGCCCUGCACUUCGGGAUAAGCCUGGGAAACUGGGUCUAAUACCGGAUAGGACCACUUCUUGGAUGUUGUGGUGGAAAGGUUUUUCGGUGUGGGAUGAGCUCGCGGCCUAUCAGCUUGUUGGUGGGGUAAUGGCCUACCAAGGCGUCGACGGGUAGCCGGCCUGAGAGGGUGUACGGCCACAUUGGGACUGAGAUUCGGCCCCGACUCCUACGGGAGGCAGCAGUGGGGAAGGUUGCACAAUGGGCGCGAGCCUGAUGCAGCGCCGCCGCGUGGGGGAUGACGGCCUUCGGGUUGUAAUCUCAUUUCGCUAGGGACGAAGCGUUUUGUGACGGUACCUGGAGAAGAAGCACCGGCUAACUACGUG
rnacentral:rRNA from 1 species